ensembl:lncRNA
AAAGAGCAAUGGCAUUUUACAUCAUGUCCUGAAAGUCAUCAGUCCAUAACCACUAAGAAGUGAUGCAAAAUGCUGGUAAUCUCUGCCCAGCAAGCAAUCCGAGUCCAUGCGGAAAGCUCCUGAAAAACAUCAUCUGUGUAAGGAAGAAUUCCUUCCUACAUCUCGGUUACCAGGAGCAGGAAGCAGGCUGCAGCAGAUGAGGAUAGCUGAAAUCACAAAUCAGAGCGCCUACUUCUUGAUACUCCUGCCUCAGUUUUGUCUUCUGUGGACCUGGACUGGUAACAGCUUCCUGCCUACCGGGGAUGCUGCAAACAUUAUUGCACACUUAGCAGAUUAUGAGCCUAAAUACAUAUACAAGGUGCAAAGCGGUGGACCAGAAUAAUUAAUGGAAGAGCAUAUAGGGAAGCUAGCCUGUGUUUCUAUUUGUGUCCAACAACAAUAGUCCAGGAGCAUUUCAUACCAGAGGCAUGCUUCUAAGCGAGUUACACAGGCUGAAUCAACUUUCGAAAUCAAUAGGAACAGAGCACAGAAAAAAAAUCCAUGCUAUUUCAAUUCCAACAAUUACUGGAGAGUUAACCAGCCUCUCAAAAAAACGUUAUCAGGACUGACACAUUUCCAAAGUGUAUUCUGAUUUUAGCUGAGCUUUAUCUUCUGACAGAGAAAUGUUUUGUUGGAUAUAUUCCAGCUUCUUCUUCACGUUAUUAGUUUUUUUUAAUUCUUGCCUUUUCUUUUUAAUACAACAAUUUUUUUUUUUGCGCACUGUGGUAAUUGGAACAGAAGUAAGAGUGUCUUAUUCUUCCGGCAGUCAUAUUCCCUUCAGUGGCUUUCUUUUAAGUAACAAGCCAUCGCAGCAGUGAGAACUAAAAGGCUACACAGAGGCACAUCAGGUGGCUCUGAUGAUUGAGUGGUGGUUAACAACGGGUAGCUUAUUGUGACGGCUCGACUGCCACCAUUACACCGAGACUGAAAGAGAAUACACGCGUGCAUUUAGAAUUCCUUAAAGGUGUAUUUUAUUUGAUCCGUAAGGGAUCACUCCAGCUCUUACAAAAGUAUCUGGCGGAAAAUACCUUUGUUCCCAUGAAUGGGAGAGGGUUUGCUUUUUGGUUUUCCGUCUCUCCUGGUGCUUUUAUUUGCAGCCAUUUCAAGUCGGAGUUGUUGCAAGUCUGGUAUUGAGUGAGACACUUGUGUGAACACCCUUGGCUUCUUCAGUGAUGGUGUUUUACAUGUUUAAAAGCUCCAUGGAUCUACCACGUAGAAAAUGAACAGUUAUUAAUAACAGUCUGAGAUAUAAACAAAAAAAACCCCCAAAAUUAUGCUAGCAUUCAGAGCACCAGCCAUUAGCUCAGCCCAGAGUCUGAAGAUGUGUGAUGAUCUUUCAGAAACUUUUCUUUCUUUGUGACAUAUGCACAGGGUAUUAUGUCAUGCAUGUCAUGUUACAUGCACAGUGGAGGCCCCUAUCCUUACCAUUUACAGGAGCUGGCUAUUUUUCUUGUGCUGCACGUGUUUUGCUGCCAUGGAAUCUAAGUUGUGACUGGUGCCCCAGAUGCAGCAGAUGAAAGCCAUGGAGUUUUGCUCCAUGCAAAACACAAGCUAGACAGCUAAUCAAGCAUCAUCAGGCUCACCGCUCACUUCAGAUGUUUGGCCUUUAGCAGAAAUCAGCACUGUUGCACGGAGUGUAAUGGCAGAUAUUUGCUAUCUGUACAAUUAGAAAACCCUUGGGACCAUGAAAAUAGCUUUGUGAAAAUGCAAUUGCAAGCCUUGUUCUUUGCCAUGCAACUGCUGGGUGCUUCCUACGGUACUAUAACACACAGUACAAAUGUGUAUGCUGAAAUGAACUGAAGGUCACAAAUGACGUGGAGUUCCUUAGUGAUGAGAACUGGCUCACGGAACCUGCACACUAAGCACUGGAAACAGCUUGAAUCUUCAAAGUCCAAAACAAACAAAUAAACAGACAAGAACCAAAACA